GAUAAACGCUGGCGGCGUGCCUAACACAUGCAAGUCGAACGCCUUCGCAAGAAGGAGUGGCGGACGGGUGAGUAUCACGUGGAUACCUUCCUCUCAGUGGGGGAUACCUGCGAGAAAUCGCAGACAAUCCCGCAUAGGCUCAGGCAACUGAGCAAAGCAGCAAUGCGCUGGGAGAUGGGUCUGCGCCUGAUUAGUCCGUUGGUGGGGUAAUGGCUCACCAAGACGACGAUCAGUAGCUGGUCUGAGAGGAUGAUCAGCCACACUGGGAUUGAGAACG
rnacentral:rRNA from 1 species